AUACGGAGGAUGCGAGCGUUAUCCGGAUUUAUUGGGUUUAAAGGGAGCGUAGGUGGGAUAUUAAGUCAGCUGUGAAAGUUUGGGGCUCAACCUUAAAAUUGCAGUUGAUACUGGUUUCCUUGAGUACGGUACAGGUGGGCGGAAUUCGUGGUGUAGCGGUGAAAUGCUUAGAUAUCACGAAGAACUCCGAUCGCGAAGGCAGCUCACCGGGCCGGAACUGACACUGAUGCUCGAAAGUGCGGGGAUCAAACAGGAUUAGAUACCCUGGUAGUCCGCACAGUAAACGAUGAAUACUCGCUGUUUGCGAUACACUGUAAGCGGCCAAGCGAAAGCGUUAAGUAUUCCACCUGGGGAGUACGCCGGCAACGGUGAAACUCAAAUGAAUUGACGGGG
rnacentral:rRNA from 1 species